UACGGGGGGGGCAAGCGUUGUUCGGAAUUACUGGGCGUAAAGGGCGCGUAGGCGGCCUUCUAAGUCGGACGUGAAAUCCCUCGGCUCAACCGAGGAACUGCGUCCGAUACUGAAAGGCUUGAAUCCGGGAGAGGGAUGCAGAAUUCCAGGUGUAGCGGUGAAAUGCGUAGAUAUCUGGAGGAAUACCGGUGGCGAAGGCGGCAUCCUGGACCGGCAUUGACGCUGAGGAGCGAAAGCUAGGGGAGCAAACGGG
rnacentral:rRNA from 1 species